rnacentral:rRNA from 1 species
UACAGAGGUCUCAAGCGUUGUUCGGAUUCAUUGGGCGUAAAGGGUGCGUAGGCGGCGCGGUAAGUCGGGUGUGAAAUCUUGGAGCUUAACUCCGAAACUGCAUUCGAUACUGCCGUGCUUGAGGACUGGAGAGGAGACUGGAAUUUACGGUGUAGCGGUGAAAUGCGUAGAUAUCGUAAGGAAGACCAGUGGCGAAGGCGGGUCUCUGGACAGUUCCUGACGCUGAGGAGCGAAAGCGUGGGGAGCGAACAGG